AUUCUUCAGUCUCUGAAAAGGUGAUGUCUAUAACAUAUGAACCCAUGGAGCGAAGACCACGAACUGCUGCUGAGUAUAAUGACGACUGUACCGGAAGUGAUUUUGAUGGCGAAGAGUCAAGUAGUUCUGGUGAUGAAUUUGAUGAAAGAGAUCAACAAAGUAGGAGAAGACGACAGUCCGAGGAGUCAGGGGAAGAAGAGGAUACGAGUUUAUUGAUUUGAGUGCACACUCGUGACGUCACACAGAAAUUCAGUGAAAAUCUGACCGUUUUGGAUGCGCAGAAAAAUUAUGUCACAAAAACAUCAAUUACUAAGUUAUUCUU
rnacentral:sRNA from 1 species